CUUCCACAGCACCAGAACAGACACUAUUUCUCUUGGAAGAAGUGUUCCAUUUCUACCCUUCUGAAAUCUUGUCAGGGUAAGAAAAACAGAAGCUGUGACUUCUCAAUGCCAUCUGGUCUGAUGCAAAAUGACAUGGCACCUUGACCGUGGCAUCUGUGACAGGAAGGCCGCCAUAUCUCUCAGAUGUGGGAAUUAUUAGAGGAUUGGGGUCUAAAAGGGGGCUCAGUUCAAUUCAAAUUGCCGGUCCUUCAAGGUUUUCAGAACACUCUCUUGUGUACCAGAAUGGAGACUUAUUUUCUAAACUGUGUCCUUUGCUGACAAAACCACAACUUCUUAGA